AAAAAAUCCGGUGAAAUUUUCAUUGUAAAUAUGAAUUCCUUUGUUAUAAGAGCAGCUAAAUAUUUGUCCACUACAGGAGCAACUGUUAAUGGUCAUUAUGGAGAAAUACUUUACAAGGGAGAUAGGUUAGUUACGUUUAUAUAUGAAAAAUUGAGAUCUAAUGACAUAAUGCAUGGUCUUCCAAAAGUGGAACAAAUCUUUGAAGCGCAUUCAAUUGAUUCAUUAUCCCUGAAUCUCGAAAGGAGAAUUGAGGAUUGGAAUGAGUGUAUACCAAGAAUUCUUGGGGUCCCU
rnacentral:rRNA from 1 species